rfam:Hordeum vulgare subsp. vulgare, WGS project CAJW01000000 data, contig: morex_contig_69463
CAUGUACUCCCUUCGUCCGGAAUUACGUGUCAUAGAAAAUGGAUGUACCUAGACAUAUUUUAAUUCUAGAUACAUUUAUUUCUUUCCAUUUUGGUGACAAGUAAUUCCGGAUGGGGGAGUAUGAU